rnacentral:rRNA from 1 species
AUGAACGCUGGCGGCGUGCCUAAUACAUGCAAGUCGCGCGAACAGAUAAGGAGCUUGCUCCUUUGAAGUUAGCGGCGGACGGGUGAGUAACACGUGGGUAACCUACCUAUAAGACUGGGAUAACUUCGGGAAACCGGAGCUAAUACCGGAUAACAUUUAGAACCGCAUGGUUCUAAAGUGAAAGAUGGUUUUGCUAUCACUUAUAGAUGGACCCGCGCCGUAUUAGCUAGUUGGUAAGGUAACGGCUUACCAAGGCGACGAUACGUAGCCGACCUGAGAGGGUGAUCGGCCACACUGGAACUGAGACACGGUCCAGACUCCUACGGGAGGCAGCAGUAGGGAAUCUUCCGCAAUGGGCGAAAGCCUGACGGAGCAACGCCGCGUGAGUGAUGAAGGGUUUCGGCUCGUAAAACUCUGUUAUUAGGGAAGAACAAAUGUGUAAGUAACUGUGCACAUCUUGACGGUACCUAAUCAGAAAGCCACGGCUAACUACGUG